GAUCGGCAGUGGGUUGCAAAUGUGACUAAUUAUUCAUCACAAUAUAGUAUAAGUUGGGCCGCUACUUGUGUGAUUGGACCUCCAGAUGUAUACCCAAAUUACGGUGACUUGCAUGGUGCAUGGGCACCCUCAGAUUAUGGUGAUAAUAGCAUAACGGUAUCGUUUGAAAAGGAAAUGUAUAUACAAACUAUAAAUUUAUACGAGACAUAUGGAGCUGGAGGUGUUUAUAAUAUCACUGUCAAAAAUCCAAGUGGGGAUUGGUAUGCAGUAUGGGAAACUAACAAUACGAUACAGAUAACCAAAAGCCGGAUUUUUUGUCCUUCGUUCAAGAAACUUACAUUUCGAGCAAGUGAACUACGUAUUCAAUCCAUGACGUUCAAUGUGUAUUAUGAACUAGACGCAGUUGAAAUAACUGGAACUUAUUAAAGGAACUUAACAGUU